ACGGCUCAGUAACACGUGGACAACCUGCCCUUAGGACGGGGAUAAACCCGGGAAACUGGGUAUAAUACCCGAUAGGUCUCGAUUGCUGGAAUGCAUCGAGAUUUAAAGCUCCGGCGCCUAAGGAUGGGUCUGCGGCCUAUCAGGUAGUAGUGGGUGUAGCGUACCUACUAGCCUACGACGGGUACGGGUUGUGAGAGCAAGAGCCCGGAGAUGGAUUCUGAGACACGAAUCCAGGCCCUACGGGGUGCAGCAGGCGCGAAAACUUUACAAUGCUGGCAACAGCGAUAAGGGAACCUCGAGUGCCAGGUUACAAAUCUGGCUGUCGAGAUGCCUAAAAAGCAUUUCAUAGCAAGGGCCGGGCAAGACCGGUGCCAGCCGCCGCGGUAACACCGGCGGCUCGAGUGGUAACCGUUAUUAUUGGGUCUAAAGGGUCUGUAGCCGGCCGGAUAAGUCUCUUGAGAAAUCUGGCGGCUUAACUGUCAGGCUUUCAGGAGAUACUGUCUGGCUCGAGGCCGGGAGAGGUGAGAGGUGCUUCAGGGGUAGGGGUGAAAUCUUGUAAUCCUUGAAGGACCACCAGUGGCGAAGGCGUCUCACCAGAACGGACCUGACGGCAAGGGACGAAAGCUAGGGGCACGAACCGGAUUAGAUACCCGGGUAGUCCUAGCCGUAAACGAUACUCGCUAGGUGUCGGCCACGGUGCGACCGUUGUCGGUGCCGUANGGAAGCCGUGAAGCGAGCCACCUGGGAAGUACGGCCGCAAGGCUGAAACUUAAAGGAAUUGGCGGGGGAGCAC
rnacentral:rRNA from 1 species